rnacentral:lncRNA from 1 species
CAUGGCGGCAGGGUCUCAGAAAAGUUCUGCUAAUCUUUCUUAAGGGGUAGAGACCACAGGCUCUCCUCCUGUGCUUCCCUACCCAGGAAUCACCUUGUUGCCUGGCUACCCCUCCCUAAGACUGUGACCCAACGAGAAGCUGGAUCUGCCUUGGGGAAGCUGAACAGUGGAAUGGACUGCCCUUCAGGCUGGAGAGAUGGCUCAGUGGUUAACAGCAUAGGCUGCUCUUCCAGAAGACCUAGGUUCUAUUCCCAGCGCCCUCAUGGCAGCUCACAGUCAUGCGUAACUCCAGUUCCAGAAGAUUCAACACCCUCUUCUGAUGUUCCCAGGUACCAGGAACAACUGUGAUGCA